AUUAAAUGCGAUACCACACCAAACUUUUUGUUACCAACAAACCAUCUAUCAUUUCUCCACAAUCGGUAUAGUAUGGUCCCUUUUUGUAGAUGCCACCCCCCACUGACAAAUUCUUUAAAAAUGCCCUGCUUAGAAACACUAGUCACUAGACAUGCAAUUAUUGUUUACCUACGUCUGCGGAUCUGUAGAAUUCAGUAUAGAACACUAUACAUUUAUCGAGUAUAUCUGUAGUAUUACAUGUUAUAAUUGUUUCAGUGUGGGUAUUAAAUUGGGAAAUUCGAAAUAUAUAAUAUACAAUAGCUUCGGGUUUCAGGAACUUUACGAUACUUCACGUAUUUAUAGGACACAGUCUUUAAAAUAUGCGGAUGGUAUUACGAGAAGUACAGUUUUUACUAGUUUUGAAUGUAUAAAUUUAUGCUAUUUUACUCACAUGUUGCUCGUACUGCGUAACAUUUUCUCUUUGUCCCACAGUCGCCAGAAGUCAACAGCACGUUCCCCUCUUUGUGUACGUACACGAACGACUAGUUUCUAUUUUCUUCCUAUUUUCGUGCUCGAUAAUAAAUCUCUCCUGCAUUUUUCUUUCCCUCUCAGAUCUUUUUUCUCUUUCAAACAUCCCUGUAUAUCUCUCUCGCUCUUUCUUGUUUAAUUAUUUUUCGUCUUUUACGACGAAUUCCUCGAUCGUGUUCGGCAGUGGUUCGGCCUGGAAAGCCGACCUAGCUUCGAAAGUAUAUGCUCGCUCUGCCUCGCUGGUUGCACUGAGAUUUCUCCCAGAUCGUGACGUAUCCCACCAUUAGCAAGUGCGCCACUCGCUGUGUGGAAUGUCGUGUUAAAAUGCGCCAUUUCAACUGACUUUACGUAAGCUCAUACGACCAGACGAAACGGAGAAAAAGCAUAUUAUUUCUUGAGAUUUGCCGUCCUUGCUUCCUGAUCGAUGAUCAAGUGCAAAUUCCCACGCGCGCGCUUUGUUUACAUAUUGCUGCACAAAUAUUACCUUCCCCUCCCUCCCUCAGGCAGGUCAAACAAUUGUCUGUUCGCUUGCUGUAUAUUUUGCAGUACUGGAAUGGAAAAUUUUGACCAAAUAUAACUGUUAUUUCUAUCUGGAGUUGUGCAAGUAACGUCAAUUUUACGGAUGAUGGUAUAUUAGUGUUCUACUGAGCGAAUUUUUGGCCAGAUGUUGCUCGUCGAAACCAGUUUAGACCCCGUAAAAGUAUACGUGUAAUUUGAGCUAUU